rnacentral:rRNA from 1 species
CCUACGGGUGGCAGCAGUGAGGAAUAUUGGUCAAUGGGCGCGAGCCUGAACCAGCCAAGUAGCGUGAAGGAUGACUGCCCUACGGGUUGUAAACUUCGUUUAUAAAGGAAUAAAGUGAGGCACGUGUGCCUUUUUGUAUGUACGUUAUGAAUAAGGAUCGGCUAACUCCGUGCCAGCAGCCGCGGUAAUACGGAGGAUCCGAGCGUUAUCCGGAUUUAUUGGGGUGAAAGGGAGCGUAGAGGGGUUGUUAAGUCAGUUGUGACAGUUUGCGGCUCAACCGUAAAAUUGCACUUGAUACUGGCAGUCUUGUGUACAGUUGCGGUAGGCUGCCUUCGUGGUGUCGCUG